AUACGUAGGGAGCGAGCGUUGUCCGGAAUUACUGGGUGUAAAGGGAGCGUAGGCGGGAGUGCAAGUCAGAUGUGAAAUACAUGGGCUCAACCCAUGGGCUGCAUUUGAAACUGCAUUUCUUGAGUGAAGUAGAGGUAAGCGGAAUUCCUGGUGUAGCGGUGAAAUGCGUAGAUAUCAGGAGGAACACCGGUGGCGAAGGCGGCUUACUGGGCUUUUACUGACGCUGAGGCUCGAAAGCGUGGGUAGCAAACAGGAUUAGAUACCCUGGUAGUCCACGCUGUAAACGAUGAUUACUAGGUGUGGGGGGACUGACCCCUUCCGUGCCGCAGUUAACACAAUAAGUAAUCCACCUGGGGAGUACGGCCGCAAGGUUGAAACUCAAAGGAAUUGGCGGGG
rnacentral:rRNA from 1 species